AAUACAAUUCAAGUUCUACUACUAAUAAUUAAUUUCUGCUACUUUAGCAUAAUUUAACCUAUCAGGUUAAACCAUAGGAAAUUGUCAGCUUUCAACUUUUUACUUACGGAAAAACAAACAAGAUAAACAAAUAGGCAAACAAAUGAACAAACAAAACAAUUGUCUAUGGAUCAGUCUAAAACUCCUACCAAGUUCAGUAUCUUCUGUGUAAGCUUGGAGGGAUGCCUUAAGGACGUGGUAAAAGUCACCUCUCUCUGUGCUGAGGCUGGCUUCAGAUUUCUCUCUUGUAUCUUGAGAAAUUAGAACUGGAAAAAAAGAUUCAAGGUUUUCAAAUGCCAUAAUCAGCCAAGAAGUGAUACACUUGUGAAGACUGGAAGACUGCCUAACUUGAGAAGAAUAACACCCAUGAACGCUGUCUGAAACAAACUUAAUAGAAGACAUAUACCUAUUCUAUGAAA